rnacentral:misc_RNA from 1 species
UUAAGUUCAGCGGGUAUCCCUACCUGAUCCGAGGUCAACCUUUGAUAAAUUGGGGGUUGCUGGCAAGCAAACACCUAGAUCUCCAGAGCGAGAAGAAUUACUACGCUUAGAGCCAGAUGGCACCGCCACUGAUUUUAAGGGCUGCCAGUUGGCAGGCCCCAACACCAAGCUGAGCUUGAGGGGUUAUAAUGACGCUCGAA